rnacentral:rRNA from 1 species
AGGGUUUGAUCCUGGCUCAGAUUGAACGCUGGCGGCACGCUUUACACAUGCAAGUCGGGCGGCAGCAUGGGGCUUCGGCCCCGAUGGCGAGCGGCGGACGGGUGAGUAAUGCAUGGGAAUGCGCCCAGUAGUGGGGGACAACCCUGGGAAACCAGGGCUAAUACCGCAUGUUUUCUACGGAACAAAGCGGGGGACUUCUUCGGAAACCUCGCGCUAUUGGAGCAGCCCAUGUCCGAUUAGCUAGUUGGCGGGGUAACGGCCCACCAAGGCGACGAUCGGUAGCUGGUCUGAGAGGAUGAUCAGCCACACCGGGACUGAGACACGGCCCGGACUCCUACGGGAGGCAGCAGUGGGGAAUAUUGGACAAUGGGGGCAACCCUGAUCCAGCGAUGCCGCGUGAGUGAAGAAGGCCUUCGGGUUGUAAAGCUCUUUCGCAGGGGAAGAAACAGCGGGGAAGAAUACGCCCCGCGAAUGACGGUACCCUGACAAGAAGCACCGGCUAACUUCGUGCCAGCAGCCGCGGUAAUACGGGGGGUGCAAGCGUUAAUCGGAAUUACUGGGCGUAAAGCGUGCGUAGGCGGCUUUUCAAGUCAGAUGUGAAAUCCCGGGGCUCAACCUCGGAACUGCGUUUGAAACUGGAAGGCUCGAGUUCGGCAGAGGAAGGUGGAAUUCCGCGUGUAGCGGUGAAAUGCGUAGAGAUGCGGAAGAACACUAAUGGCGAAGGCAUCCUUCUGGGCCGAUACUGACGCUGAGUCACGAAAGC